CACGUAGGGGGCGAGCGUUGUCCGGAUUUAUUGGGCGUAAAGAGCUCGUAGGCGGCUCGGUAAGUCGGGUGUGAAAACUCUAGGCUCAACCUAGAGACGCCACCUGAUACUGCUGUGGCUAGAGUCCGGUAGGGGAGCAUGGAAUUCCUGGUGUAGCGGUGAAAUGCGCAGAUAUCAGGAGGAACACCAGUGGCGAAGGCGGUGCUCUGGGCUAUUACUGACACUCAGAGACGAAAGCUAGGGGAGCAAAUGGG
rnacentral:rRNA from 1 species